rnacentral:rRNA from 1 species
GCCCCGGUAAACGGCGGCCGUAACUAUAACGGUCCUAAGGUAGCGAAAUUCCUUGUCGGGUAAGUUCCGACCUGCACGAAUGGCGUAAUGAUGGCCAGGCUGUCUCCACCCGAGACUCAGUGAAAUUGAACUCGCUGUGAAGAUGCAGUGUACCCGCGGCAAGACGGAAAGACCCCGUGAACCUUUACUAUAGCUUGACACUGAACAUUGAGCCUUGAUGUGUAGGAUAGGUGGGAGGCUUUGAAGUGUGGACGCCAGUCUGCAUGGAGCCGACCUUGAAAUACCACCCUUUAAUGUUUGAUGUUCUAACGUUGGCCCGUAAUCCGGGUUGCGGACAGUGUCUGGUGGGUAGUUUGACUGGGGCGGUCUCCUCCUAAAGAGUAACGGAGGAGCACGAAGGUUGGCUAAUCCUGGUCGGACAUCAGGAGGUUAGUGCAAUGGCAUAAGCCAGCUUGACUGCGAGCGUGACGGCGCGAGCAGGUGCGAAAGCAGGUCAUAGUGAUCCGGUGGUUCUGAAUGGAAGGGCCAUCGCUCAACGGAUAAAAGGUACUCCGGGGAUAACAGGCUGAUACCGCCCAAGAGUUCAUAUCGACGGCGGUGUUUGGCACCUCGAUGUCGGCUCAUCACAUCCUGGGGCUGAAGUAGGUCCCAAGGGUAUGGCUGUUCGCCAUUUAAAGUGGUACGCGAGCUGGGUUUAGAACGUCGUGAGACAGUUCGGUCCCUAUCUGCCGUGGGCGCUGGAGAACUGAGGGGGGCUGCUCCUAGUACGAGAGGACCGGAGUGGACGCAUCACUGGUGUUCGGGUUGUCAUGCCAAUGGCACUGCCCGGUAGCUAAAUGCGGAAGAGAUAAGUGCUGAAAGCAUCUAAGCACGAAACUUGCCCCGAGAUGAGUUCUCCCUGACUCCUUGAGGGUCCUGAAGGAACGUUGAAGACGACGACGUUGAUAGGCCGGGUGUGUAAGCGCA